CGAUCCAGCCAUUCCGCGUGAGGUGAAGAGGCCUUCGGGUUGUAAAGCUCUUCGGCAGGAACGAAAGGCUCUCUCUAACAUAGGGGGGUCAAUGACGGUACCUGAAGAAGAAGCACCGGCUAACUACGUGCCAGCAGCCGCGGUAAUACGUAGGGUGCGAGCGUUAAUCGGAAUUACUGGGCGUAAAGCGUGCGCAGGCGGCUUUGUAAGACAGAUGUGAAAUCCCCGGGCUUAACCUGGGAACUGCGUUUGUGACUGCAAGGCUUGAGUGCGGCAGAGGGGGGUGGAAUUCCACGUGUAGCAGUGAAAUGCGUAGAGAUGUGGAGGAACACCGAUGGCGAAGGCAGCCCCCUGGGUCGACACUGACGCUCAUGCACGAAAGCGUGGGUAGCAAACAGGAUUAGAUACCCUGGUAGUCCACGCCCCUAAACGAUGCCAACUAGGUGUUGGGGAAGGAGACUUCCUUAGUACCGUAGCUAACGCGUGAAGUUGGCCGCCUGGGGAGUACGGUCGCAAGAUUAAAACUCAAAGGAAUUGACGGGGG
rnacentral:rRNA from 1 species